rnacentral:rRNA from 1 species
UAUUGUGGCAUGCAUCCAGACCACCUCAGUCUAGGACGACUUUGAUUUUAGAAGCUAAGCCAUGAUGGAGCCUAGUCACUAUUUGGAUGGGAGACCUCAAAGGAAAAUCCAGGUGUUGCAGAAA